UGCUUCGAGGUUGUACUCCUUGAGGAGCAGCUCGCUCAGCUCGGGGAGGACCGGAUGCCCAAGCCCAACGCCCCCCCUCUCUCUUUCUCUCAGUCUCUCAGGCCGGCCUGCUCGAUAGAUUCUUGUUUCUGAUUUGCCUCUUCCACCUGUAUAUCACGGUGCAGUUAAGAGUAGCAUUAUCAGAGCAGCAGCCAGGGAUCUGGAGAAGAAGAUGGAUGUAAAAAUUAAGGAAAUUACCCGGGAAAUGAGGCAGCAGAAUGAUCCACCAACACCGAUCCAAAUGGCAGACUAGCUAAGGAAGAACAGCAAGAAGAAGAAGUAUGCAGGAGAGGCUUAAGAAUUAGGUGCAAGGAAAAUGUAGUUACUCACUCCACCAGUGAGGAGUCAAGCGCUGCAGGAAAUUUAAUGCUCAGUGAGCCUUAAGUUUUCACAGACUCAGACUAUGCUCCACCCUCAGCCAACAUUAAUCAGACCAUAUGAUACACACAGUUACACACUGUGCAUCAAUGUUCUGGUCCAUCACAUUAACUACACUUUCUGUGUCUAUAUAGGACAGAUGAUGGUCAUACAGCCGAUUAUUUAUUUAUUUUCUAUUAUCAGGAAUUAUUCGUGCCAUUUCGAGAAAAUAUGUUUAGAGGAAGAUUUGCAUGAGAAAACUGAGACAAAAUAAAAUAUAAUCAUACUUCACAGAGGGGGUGUAAGUGCAGGUAGAUGAACAACACCAUAGGUUUAACCGCAAAUUAAUCAAAUCCUUUUAGAGCCGGUACUCAAUCAAAU
rnacentral:lncRNA from 1 species